rnacentral:rRNA from 1 species
UACGAGGGGGGCGAGCGUUGUUCGGAAUUAUUGGGCGUAAAGGGUGCGUAGGCGGGUCUUUUAAGUCAAGGGUGAAAUCCUGGAGCUCAACUCCAGAACUGCCUUUGAUACUGAGGAUCUUGAGUUCGGGAGAGGUGAGUGGAACUGCGAGUGUAGAGGUGAAAUUCGUAGAUAUUCGCAAGAACACCAGUGGCGAAGGCGGCUCACUGGCCCGAUACUGACGCUGAGGCACGAAAGCGUGGGGAGCAAACAGGG